CAUUUUAUUUCUACAAAACCGCGUUUUUGUAGAAAAGAAAGAAGGCGACGAAGUUGACACUUCAAAUGAAUCAAUUCAGUAUACAAAUGUGAUUUUGUGUGCUUCGAUCUAUAAAUACAGUUGUGGUCGAUGACACUUGAGAGAAUAACAAAGUGACAAUGAAGAAAACAACACAAGUGUUUCUUCUUCUUUUCCGUUUGAUGCUUCUUACAUGCCUAGUCUUUCAGGUUCGUGUCACAGAGGCUAGAUUCCGCCACCUAGGGGAGGAACGGAUUGGCGCAAUACCCUCCAUUCCAUGUGGAGCUGCUCCUAGAAGAAGUGAACUUACAGGAAUAAUGAACAGGCUCUGUAGGAGGACUAGGAUUUCAAGACCUCCGGGUGUUAAUUAGUGAUCUCCGUCCAAGAGAUAGCAACGUUUGAAUAUGAGCCACGAAUAAAAUCUCAACUGUUCAGAAGUUUAUUAAUCAUAUAUAAUUCCAAAUAAUUGUUUCACGUUUUGCUAAAGACUAUCGCUUAGCUGAGAUACAUUUUCUAAUUUCUUCUUAAAAUCAUGUUUUAUGUGUACAUGGUAAAGUUAAAGUUUACAGUAAUGAUUUCGCAAGCA